UGGUCCUGCUUUUCCGGCUGCGCGCGCAUCUCUCAGUUGUGGGCAGGCCGGACCUCGAGCGAUGCUUUCAGCGUUUCAUCUCCGAGCAAACUCACAGGCGUCUUUAGAGCUUUCUCAGGCACUCAGUUAUUUGCUCCUCAAAACAGUUUCGGAGAGAGAAGAGGCAGAAAUCACUGUCACCUGAAGCAAACGCCUCAGCUCUCCACGGUUCGCCUGUAUUCUGCCGUUCCAUCGGCGAUGACCGCAUCCAGGGGAUAGCGCUUCUUGCGGAUGCUGCGCCCGGAGGAGAUGAGGUCGGCAUAGCCACGCUGGUGGGAGAAAGCGUAGGCCGAGCGCCGUGCGGACACGCCCCGGCGGAACACAUUCUGCCGCCGCUUCCACUGCUCUUCGGCUUUUAACCGCUUUCGGUGCUUCUGAAUCUACGAAAGCAGGAGAGAUGGGAAAAUACCAACCUGUAAAUUGAAAUGCAGAUGGAAAGAGAACAUGUAUUCCGGCACUAUGAAGGUCAAACAUGAUGCCAAAAUAAAUUGCAAUGCUUCCAAAAAUUGAAAAAGCAUUCACAAAAGUCCAAUAAGAAGUAUCCAAGCCAAUCUGUUGGGAAACCAGAGAAAAACAGAGCACUCAUUUUGGGGAGUUAGCAAGAAAUAAAGGAUCUAAGGAUUCUGAAAAUAGAAUUCAGCAAUUUAAGCAUGGUAUGGCUCGAAUACUGAACAAUCAGAAGCUAUCUUUGACUCAGGCAAGAAAUAGGAAAUAUGUUUGGUAUAAGGGAUGAGAAUAGCAUCCAUUCAUAUUUGCAAAGCAGCAGAGCCUCAGUUGGAGGAAGAAUGGGAGCCAGGCGGAUGUGCACGCUGGUCUACAUACAGAAAUGCAUACAGUACCAACAGGUACUGAAAACAGUUGACUAAAGCCACAUACCUGGAAAUUGACUGUUAUUACAAGAGCAGAGGCAAUUGUGACAGCAAAAGAUUGGUAGUCUGAGGGCGCCUCUCCAUCCUGUCCCACAGUUUGCAGAUAAGCUCCAAGAGGUAUGAAGAAGAGGACCAAAGAUGUUAAAACCCCGUGCAACAAGCUUACGAAGAAUCUCCUGUAGUUGAAUAGUAAGUCUCUUUGUCCCACCACGUAUAACCCGGGGAAGCGGAGGCUCAGUUUGUCGCUCACAUCCUUAAGGGGAAAACACAAUUACAGUUGAGUGCUGUCCAUCAGGAUCAAAGAACUCAAGAGAUACGUCACAACCUCCAUCUCGAAAGGAGUUGCAACUUGUUAAGUUCUAGGAAGGCAAAAACUAAACAAGAUGAUAAAUCCUGAAUAAUUUCAUUGUGCAGAGAGCAACCUCGUUACUGUAGUCCACCAUCAUUUGAUAUUUAAUUCUGAGACUAGGUAAAGUAUUACUAUUUUGCUACUUAAGAAAGCAGAUCAGUAAUGUUUAAAGAAGUGUAGGAAGCCGAUUUUUACUUUCUGAGAAUACAUUUUUUCUAAUACUUUGGGAAAGCAUUUUCACAUACACAUCGAUGAGUUAAUUCCAAAUUAUUCUUUUUAUUUUUGAAAGCAGUUUCUGUAAAAGUUGCUACUAGAUAGAAUGCGGACUAAUUUGGAAAUUAAACCUGUAAGUUUGGGGAGGUAUUAAAAUAAUUUACUUUAAAGAUGUGUAAGUUGUUAUUGUAGAGACAUACUGUUAGGUAUCUAACAAGAAAAUCUUAGUGUCCGAAAUGAGGGUAAUAAACUCUUUUGUCAAUGAAUUCAACCCAAGCACAGAAAUCCUCUUUUCUUACUAUAAAACAAGCAUAGCGGUUGCUCUGAUUGCCUGACAGCAGAAAUAUAAUAGGGUUUACUCAGAAAGAAGUGAAAACCAAAAGAAUGCAUUGAAAUAUUUGCUUUGAAACAGUCACUCAGUCUGUCCAGAAGCGACCCUGUCAGCGCCAGGCUCCUACCUGGUCGAGCAGCCCCAUGAGGAGGACGGGCAGGCUGGUGUAGAUCACAUUGUAGAGGGUGAUGAACCAGUCUUCGUACGCGGUCUGUGAGGAGAUGACAGAGUCUGUGUCACCGACGAAGAAAUGUCGCCCACCUAGUUAAUACGUGCGCAUCUGCCCUCAAAGCAGGGGUGUCCCCAGGGAAAGUAAACACCCCUCCCCCCGCCAGCUAUGCCAGUAGCAGGCACGAGUUUGUUUUGAUGGAAUGGACAGAAUCAAAGGGCUUUCCACAGGCAAUUAUCUUCCCCGUAAAAUAAGUGGGGAAAUAGACUCUGAAAAGUUUUUGGAAAAGGAGUCUGGUCUAUUUGAAGAAUGCUGGAAGACAAAUCAGUGUUCAUCGUCUUUCAAUAUCCCUUUUAUUAAUGAAUUAGAUUACAUACAACUGGUUCAAAAGCACGUAAGUACCGUUCAAAUAUGCUUUUCUCUUGCCAGUCCAGCAUUUCCAUUUAAACAUUUUAUAAACCAGAAUUUGAAUAUAAGAAAGAUGCUUCUGAAAAGGAUAAGCAAGGCUGUGCACACCCCAGUCCUCAGUGGGGGAUAGAGGAAAUGGGCUUACUCAGCACCAACAGUGAUACACCAUCCUGCACAGAAACAGGAAGAAGGCCCCAACCUUGCUCAAAACCCCAAGACAUCCUGGCCUCCAGUUUCUACACCUGGCCUCCUCUCAUGCCAGUUGUCUGUAGCAUAGCAUCAAAGAAGUCUGGACAACCACAGGCACUGACUUAGGUUUUUUGCUAAUGGUGUGUUUCUGCCAUAUCAACAAUUUAACAUUGUAGAUAUGCCCCCACUCCCAUUUCAGCAAAAUGUUAAAAUUUAAAAACCAACAGUGGAGACGUGAUGUUAGAUCUAUGAUCAUCCCCAAUUUAUAUAAUCCCUUCAGCCCCAAUGUAAUUUUAUACUUAAAUUUGAACAAUUUUUUCAAAAUUUGAACAAUUUUUUCAAAGUUGAACAAUUUGUUAUCACUAUUCUUAAUGGCAAGGUGACUUGGGAAAAAAAAAAAUCUAUGGUGAAGGCAAAGACACAUAAACAAAAGUCAACAGACCAGGAACAAAUCCUACCUUUUUAAAGGCAAAAUAAAAUAGGUUUAAAGCACCAGAAACAUUUUAGAAGAUUCAUAAACUUAAUCUGUACCUCAGCUGUUAAGAGAGAGCACCAAAACUGCAAAUAUGGAGGGGGAAGAAAAUUUCAGACGUAGUUUUAUUCAUGUAAGAGAAGAGCUCUACUCAUUUAAUAAUAAUGAUGAUGGUAUAUUACCUGUGCAGAGUACCCGUUGAAGAAGGAGUACCAGAAAUGAACCAAAGUAAAUGAAAAGUUUUUAUAAAAGAAGUAUCGUAGGAACUUGCACAUCCUUAUGUAAGACCACCUGCCGUGCACCAACAGCAGUCUCUGCAAGUAUCUGAACUGUGCAAAGGAAUAGUCACUUGACAUGACAGCUUGCAUGCCUUCUUGUCCACUUAUUCCAACACCAAUGUGGGCAGCUGUGGGGGCGGGGAGAAGAUAACUGAAUCAUAAGCUUAUUUUAAGGCAAAACAUUGAGAUGAUAAAAAUGUUUCCGUAGCAAUACAAAAAAACCCCUCAAAUUUAUGAAACAAUAAAUGUGAAAACUGUUGCUCACCAUCCCCCACCCCCAGCUUCUGAACUCAGAAGUACGAGUUGCUAAACAUAGCACGUGGUUGGGCUUCCAUAAAUAUUUGUGAAAGGAUCUCAAGUGGGUAAUGAAUUCCAUUUGGAUUAUCUGCCCAGCUCAUAAGCCAUCCUUCUCACCCAAAGGGUGAGCCCCAGGCAUCCAUGUGUACCGUGUGUCCCUGCCUCCCUGGCCACAGCUGAGUCAGCCAUGGGCAGAUACAUAAUCUAUGGUAGAUACUACGAAUUGGCUCUCCUUCAUUCUAGAACUUUUGUUGUAAUUGGAGAGGUGGGAAAGCAAAUAAAAACCCUACAUUGCUUCCACUACCUUGCAGUUAGGUUCUCUUUGUGAAUUACGUUCCACUUGUUUGGACCUGCUUGUGACUUGGAAGCAGAAGCAAAUUGGAGCCCAGCAUCCCUUCCCUUUUUGGCAUUUCUGCAGCAGAAUUCAUAUCCAUUCUCCAGCUGCCCAGAUGUUGAUAAACAACUGCAAGGGCUUCUCAAUUGGAAAGCUCUUCAGAGGAGCCUCAAAGCUAGAAGCUCCUCUGGUGAGUGACCCAGACGUGCAGACACAGCCUAGAACCUACUUCUUCAGUUCAUCCAGAAUUUUCAUGAGCACCUGGUCCCCUCUAUUAAUCACUUCCUGCUUAAAGUACCCAAAGGAAUCUGUUUCCCUCAGUCUCUUGGUAUUUUGGAGUUAGGAUUUGGGUGGGUUUGUGUUUGGAAUUUUAACGUAAAUUUUUGAGUUGUGGGAUGGAUAUACUUCUGAGGGGCAGAGAAAUAAAGUAGUCUAGAGAAAGGAUGAGAGAGAAGGGCAGACACUGAGUUCCUGGUGCAGCUUCAGGUCCUGGUUCUAGCAUAUUCCUGAGGCCUGGCUUCUUGAGCAGCAUGAGACAUAUUUGUAACUUUUAAAAUAGGUUUCUUUUUGUUUUAAGCUAACUUGAAUUGUUCUCCAAUACUUGCAACCAAAAGUGUUUAAACUUAGAUACUGUUAAACUUUCAAAGGCUUAUGCAUGGCCCACUGAGACCCCAAGACACACAGUUGUUUUGAGGAGGGGAGGUUUCCAGAAUGGAUAAAAAUGAAAGUCCCAAUUUUAUCCAUCCUCCCAAUAGUCAUUAAACCACAUGUUCCACUUAGAGAAUUAUGAGUUUUAUCUAGGUCUUAAGAGUCAUGGAAGUGAGAUCAUUUUUAGAACAUGUGUUGCAGAAUACAACCUAUUACUACUCAGACCCUGAGAAGUGCCUGCCAGCUCAGCAGAGUCUCCAACUAAAAGAAGCUCCACAACUCCUGCCCCACUUGCAGAAUACGAGGUCUGGCAUUAACACAGUGACUUGUCCAAAACCUAAGUUUUUAAUAACACUUUGCAAUUCUAUAAAAUAGAAUUAACUGCAUCUCAAUCAAUACUUACAACCUCUUUAUACACAUAAAUAGUUCUUAAUGACCAGUUGUGGUUGCCAAACUGUUCUUUCCUACCAAACCAUGGCCUUCUUUUCUGAACAAAUAACAGGGAAAUGUUGAGAUUCUGUCAGAGACAAGGAAGAGGAGCCACCGCCCCAGGCCCUGACAUCCAGUCCAGCCACUGCCGAGCAGACCAAGGGACCGUAUGUGAAGUGUACACUGCCACAGUUAAAGCGGCAACUGAACAGAUGUACUUUAUCAGGCCACACUGCUUUUUGUUUGUAUUUUCCUAAAACCUAAACAUAGGCACCUAGACUUCCCUGAAGUUGCCGAUGUGGUUUCAAAUGCCUGCCCGGUAGGCCACUUCAUAAUUCCCUGACAAGCUGGUUGCUUCCUUUUGCCUCUCUAAUGCUGCCUGUUCAUUCUCAGGAUUUAGGCCAAGGAAAAUAACACCCACCAGCCAUCUUCAGGCCCAAGCGGGAGAGAGGGCAGUAUCCGAGGGUCCUUGGAUCCUUGCUAGGGGCAAACCAUGGUGGACUGCAGUUCCCUCCACUUCUCCUAGACUACACCACUAACCAUGAAACAUGUUAGCAAAUGGUCAGAUUUUUUUGGACACUUAAAUUUCACUGUACUUCUUUAUAAACAACAAACAGUUUCUUUUGGUUCAUUGUUCUUGAUGUAGGUAAAAGAGAUGACAGUUUUCACAGAGUUCAAAAAGGCACUUAAUACUUGGGUUAAGCUACUGACUUCCAAGGAGACCUGAGUUUCUUUGAUUUUCAUCCCAAGUGUAUGUCUCCUACAUUAUAUAUAAAAGUGUGUAUCACAUAACAGAGCUUAAUAAAAUUCUGAAAACGAAAAAACAGUCUCUAGGAGGUUAUCUAUGCCAACUUCGUGUGAUCCCUUUUGCUAUCAGUUGGUGAACUGAGAGGAACAAGAGAUUUCAAGUCUCAGUCACGUAAUCGGGAAAUCUGAAACGGAGUCCCCCUCCAGCAUCUAGAAGUCUUCAUUACAACUGAAGAAAAAUAAUGUUUGAGUCACUUGCCCUUUUGGCACAGUCAUUUAUGUUAAAAGGUACAUAAUGGAAAAUAAACUAGAGCUGGCUACAGAGGAAAGAAAUAGAUCUAACUCGGAGCAAGAAAUGCCAUUCGCAUGGCAGGAUGAAUAUGUGCAAAACACGGUGGAAAGAAAUUAAACUGGCCGUGGCCACAGACAUACACGAAGAAGCGAGAAAACGUACAUUAUAUAGCUGACUCCUUUUGAGGAAGAUAAAGUUGGAACAUUCUUAGUAUAUAUCAAGGAGGAGAAGGAAGAGACUCUAAGGAAAGAAAGAGAAGAGUUACGAAACAGGCUGAAGUAAAAGUCUAGUUAUACAUAUGAUGCAUUUAAGCUACCCGGCACCACAGGACGUGUGUAUACAUGCCAUGGAUAGUUCAUCUUAAGAGAAAUACUACAAAGCUAGAGGUGACAUCAGAGAUAAUUUUCUUGUUCUCAAAUGAGAAAACUGAGGCCUGAGCAUGAGCCCAGGGUGACACGGCAUGCUGGCAUCAGGAUGAGGACAAGUAUUCAGGUCUCAUUAGUUUGGGCAUUUUCAUUACAAGAUACUCCUGUAUACGUAAUACAGGGAGAAAAAGGACCAGGAUUCAGACAUAUAUUGAUGAGGGUUUGGUUCCGUAUGCUUUUAAUACCAGCAAAAUUGUAUUUCUGCAGUGACAGAACUCAAUCUGUCAAUUUGUGGGUACCUAGGGUCCUCCAACCAGCAGAAUGACCUUGGGAGGUCAGGAGAAUUUUGAGGCGAUGUCAGAGCUGUGCUUCAAUGUUACACUGAGCUCACACUAGGUCACCUAAGGGUGAAGUUCAACAGAUUUACCAAAGGCAAGAAGAAAGCCCCAGAAAACAAUGCUUAGGUGUGGGAGAAUAAUAUUCCCAAAACAAAUAACAGAGUUCAAUAAUUUAUGCCAAGCUCAGCAGGAAUUUUUGCAAAACAUUAAAUAGCAGGGUUCUUAAUAAGCCCUGAAGAAAUAUGGGAGGAGAAGCAGCAGGAGAAAACACAAAACCACAUCCAAACAUAUGUAAAAGAAGGAAACAAAUAAGGAUAAGUUCACCCACACAGAGCUCAUCUUCGAAUUGGCACUCUUUGUAUAGAAUAAUCAUGCCUGCGCUCUCCUACUGAGUGGACUGUAAGCUUCCUGAGGGCAGGGUCACAGGUGUAGUUACCACAGUUAAGUGCCUUUAUUAAAGGUCUGCUUCAUGAAAGCCCAAGCAAUGAAAUCAGAAAAAAACUACCCCCAAAAAUGUUCCUGCCAUUUCCUCUCUACCAAUUCAGGUGGCACUGGCCAUGUGCGAGACUCACUUUUGAUCAUGUUGACAUCAUUGGCCCCAUCUCCAAUGGCGAGCGUGAUGGCUUUCUUGUACCUCUUCACCAGGUCCACCACCAUGGCCUUCUGCUUGGGGGUGACCCGGCAGCAGAUGACCGCACUGCACUCACAGGCCAGGUCGACAAAGUUCUGCUGCUGCUGCUCUUUUUUAGCUUCCAGCCUCCUCUUACUUUGUGUCCUCAUUCGUCUUUCUUCUUCUGUCCUGGGGAACUUCAGUUUCAAAAUCUUACUUCUCUUGGUCUUUUUCUCGAGAAGAAUUUCAUUCUGUGAAAAUCAGAAAGGGAAAGGAUUCUAACCAUUUUGGGUUUAAUAACAAGAGUACCAUUCCGGGCUUCCCUGGUGGCGCAGUGGUUAAGAACCCACCUGCCAAUGCAGAGGACACAGGUUCGAGCCCUGGUCCGGGAAGGUCCCACAUGCCCACGGAGCAACUAAGCCUGUGCGCCACAACUACUGAGCCUGCGCUCUAGAGCCCGUGAGCCACAACUACUGAGCCUGCGGGCCAUGACUACUGAAGACUGCGCACCUAGAGCCCAUGCUCUGCGACAAGAGAAGCCACGGCAAUAAGAAGCCUACACACGGCAACGAAGAGUAGCCCCUGCUUGCCGCAGCUAGAGAGAGCCCACACGCAGCGACAAAGACCCAAUGCAGCCCAAGAUAAAUAAAUUUAUUUUUUAAAAAAGUACCAUUCCCAAGACUUUAAUCAUCUGAAGGAUAAUUCUUGGGUUAUAUCGUUGAUGAUAUUGUUCCAAUUAUAAAAUAUUUACUAUAAAAAUAUAGAAAAAUUUAAAAUAUACAAAGAAGAAAAUUUAAAUUAAUGAUCAACUAGUUAGUUGAUAAACUAGUAAUAACCACUGCCACCAGUUUGUAUCAUAUAAUAUUACAUGUAUCAUAUAAACUCUCAGACUUGGGAAAUUGCACUUUCUUUAUGGGCUAAGAGAUUUUUAGGUUGGUAAUUAAUAUGACACACCAUCUAAAAUUGGUCCAGAAUGACCUGCUUCAGUUUGAGCCAAAGGGAGAGACACUAAUACUUACCAACCAAGAGCCAGUGAUUAUUAAGGCACGGUUUCCACCAGAUGGAAAAAAAGGUUCGUGUACUUGGGGUACAAAUUUUGCAUAGACUCCACUUCUGUUCCUCUGGUUUCCCAUCCUUGUAUGAAGAAGAGCACUGGGGGAAAAUUUAAGUGUUUAAAGUACAAGACCAUGAACAGGCCCUUGACUGUGAGACAAUUUUGACAUAUAAUCUUUUAAAAAUUGUGGUAAAAAACACAACAUAAAAUUUAUCAUCUUAGCUGUUUCUGAGUAUACAGUUCAGUAGUAUUAAGUAUAUUCAUAUCACCAAUCUCCAGAACUUUUUCAUCUUUUAAAAUGAAACUCUAUACCUAUUAAAUAACAACUCCCCACUUCUCCCCUCCCCCCAGCUCCUGGUAAUCACCACUCUGCUUCAUAUAAUGGAAUUGUGUCUUUUUGUGAUUGGCUUAUUUCACUUAAUACUAUCUUAUUUCACUGUUCUCAAGGUUUAUUCAUGUAGCAUAUGUCAGAAUUUUAUUCCUUUUUAAGGGUGAAUAAUAUUCCAUUGUAUGGAUAUACCACAUUUUUGUUUAUCCAUUCAUCUGUCAGUGGACACUUAGGUUGCUUCCACUUCUUGGCUAUUGUGAAUAAUGCCGCUAUGGACAUGGGUGGACAAAUAUCUAUUCAAGUCCCUGCUUUUAAUUCUUUUGGAUAUAUAUCCAGAAGUGGGAUUGCUGGAUCAUAUGGUAAUUCUAUUUUUAAUUUUUUUGAGGUACCACCAUACUGUUUUCCAUAGUGGCUGCACCAUUUUAUAUUCCCACCAACAGUGCACAGGGUUCAGAUUUUUCCACAUACUUGCCCAGGCUUGUUACUUUCUGUGUUUUUUAAAUAGUAGCCAUCCGUGUGAGGUGAAAUUGUGGUUUUAAUUUGUAUUUCUCUAAUGCUAAGUGAUGUUGAGCAUUAUUUCAUAUGUUUAUUGACCAUUUGUAUGUCCUCUUUGGAGAAAUGUCUAUUCAAGUCCUCUGGCCAUUUUUUAAUUAAGUGGCAUAUAAUCUUACUAAGUCUUGAUUCCUCCACCACGGAGGCACCGUGUUCACGGUACUUCAUUAUUUGCCAAAGGCAGCUAAAGGAAGAUACAGUUGAAAAUGUGUUCACAAGCAACAGAAGGAGGGCAAUCUUGAUCUGAAUUAUAAUACACAGGGGUGAACCGUAGUGUAUUACUAACAGUGACCACUGUUGGGCAGAAAAAACCUUAUUUCCACACAAAGUUAUGUCUGCUUUUGAGAUGUUCUCAGUGCUUUAUAUCAACAAGUUAUUGAGAAGACCACAUACGACUCACUCAUGGGAUAGAAAAAUGAGUCGUGGAAUUUUGGAGUAAAAGGGACUGUAAAUAUCCAAUUUCUUCACGUUACAAAUAAGGAAAUCAAGCCCGAGAGAGAGAACGUGAUUUGCCUGCAGCGAGUUGAUGGGAAAACUGCAAUGAGGACUCAGGACUCCGAAAUCUCAGCCAGAGUUUUCCUCGUUACACACAUAGAGCCUUUAUUCUUCACCUUUAAGAACAGGUUUCUCAACCUUGGCACUACUGACGUCUUGGGCCACUUAAUUCCGUGUUGCGUGUGGCUGUCUAUUGUACUGUAGGGUGUUCAGCAGCAUCCCUGGCCUCUACCCCCUGGAAGCCAGGAGCACCCCCCUCCUUCCCCACCGUGACAGUCAAAGAUGUCUCCAGACAUUGCCAAAUGUUCCCCAGAAGGCAAAGUCCCCACCUCCCCUACCCCAGUUGAAAACCACUGCACUAGAAGAUUAGGUAUUUAUUAUUCACUUUCCACAUUAAUUCUCAUUUUCAAGUUGAAAAUAAGGAGUGAUCAAGACAAGUCACUAAAGGCUGGAAGAGAAAAAAUACGUAUAUAAUUCAUACUAAAUAGUGGUGUCUCAAGCCCACUUCCUUUUUCAGCAGACAAGCACUGAGCGCUUCCAAGGAAUACAGAAAAACGGCCCCUGAAAAGGCAAACAAGGCCCCAGGUUUUCCUACAACAUAAGGUCGAAACAUGGUGAAUUGGAGCUGCCUGUUGUUUCCUUGCUUCAUUUAAACUUGAGGAAACUGUGCCAACUGACACAUUCUAGCUCCCAUUUCUCUGUAUCUGCUGUGUCUGCUGGGUCUAGUCUUGCUUUUAUAAAAAUGAGACGUGACAUUCUCAUACUGCAGGCCCUUUACCCACCUGAUAUCUUCCCCAUAGCAGAUAGUGGUAUCUUCAGUAAGAAGUUCACAGGCAAAUCCUAUAUUUUCAGCAGUUUCUGCAACAGAAAAAAGUUAAGUCAAAUGUCAUUCCUACUGAUGAAUUUAAUAAUGGACUUUAGUAAUGAUAUUUUUUCAAUUAAUGAACCAGAUUCAAUCAGAUAUGUUGUUUUUCUGUAGCAAUGUCUAGAAAUCACAUAAAAAAAAUCCCUUUCUCUGUAAUAAAGUAAAUGUAAUAAGUCAAAGUCUGGUUGAGAUGUUUUCAAUAAUAAAAUGUGCUAUAUAUCAAAUACAUAAACCGGUUAUUUAAUAAAUCAAUGUUGAUUGAAAUACUGAACACAUUUAGUUCAUGUGGUUUAAUCGUUCUGUUAUGGGGGAGAAGGAUAACCAUUUCCAUAAGCCCUCACAUGGGGUUCCUACUGGAGGUUUUUUCCCCCUCUUCCACCACCAUUAUUUGUUUAGGUCAGGACUUAAUCCCUUAGCUUAUCAAAGUGUGUAACCCAUCAACUAUGUCAAUCAGAGUAAGAGAAGUGAUCUAGUUUUCCAUGGGAGGCUUCUGAAGUAAAGAAUCAAUAAAAACAACUUGUUGAGCUCUAAAUUUAAAAAUGAAAAUCUUCCCUUGGGUAUAAAAUUUUCAUUAUAAUUUUCAAGCAGUAAAAGGGGCAAGAAAACAAAAGUUGUUGUUCAGUAUUUUGUACUGUUCUACCCUGUGCCCAACAGGUGGCAAAGUGCUGGGGAGGACAGAAGGGACCAGAGUAUAGCAGCCCAGUAUAGCAGCCCACAUCUGGUGGGGGAGAGAAGACUAAACACAAUCAGGAAGACACGACAAAGAGCUCAAUUUUAAGGAGUAAACUCUGCUACUGAGGGAGCUUCGGGAAGGAUGCGGUCAGGAUGGGCUGGAAUAACAGAAGGAUUUCUUAGGGAAAGAGUCUCUGUCCCAAAGAAACAGACAGUGUUUGUAGAGGAUGGAAAGUGUGAGGUCACCUUGAGCAAGGGAAACAGGAGUUAUGAAUAUUUGUGAAUUGACAGAUAUGCUUCCGUGCAAACUAAAUUACCCUUUUUGUCUCCAGUAAGCACCCAGAUCUUAAUGUCAGCUUUUGCAAGUUUUGAAAUGGUUUCUGGGACUCCAUCUUGUAGCUUGUCUUCAAUAGCUGUUGCUCCCAAUAGCUGAAAUGUACAUUAAAAGAAAGGAAUUAGCAAAUAAGCCAAAAAUGUUCUUAAUUGCAGUUUGCCAAACUGUAAAAAGGACUAAAUACACCCCAGUUGGUGCUCUAUUGGGGCCAGUGGCCAGCAUUAACUGGGAAGGCUGUCGUGUGUCAUACUCAUCAAAAACUAAACAGCCAAAAAUUUUUUCUUAAAGUAAUUCACCAAGACAAAAUGUAAGUACAAAUCAAAGACAAUAAAAAGAUACUUUCAUUGUGUGUAUACUACUUUACACGGACACAAGCCAAUUUCUCUUGCUAAAAGUCAAUACUAACUAUUCACUGAACAUUUCCUUUUAAUAUAAACACUAAAAGCAGUAGGUCUUAAACUUUAAAAAGUCUCUUUAACAAAUGGUAUAUUUUCUCAUUUCAAGAUUUUGCAAAAUAUAAAUCAUCUCAGUAAUUCUCACAAUGUAAUAAGUAUAUGUGGGCUUGUUACUGCAUACAAAUCACAGUGAAUUUAUUAAGUGAUAUAAAAAUAACAGAAUCAGAAUCUCAUCGUGUUUUCUGUCAUUUGGUUUCUCCUAAUGGCAACUCCUAUUUUGCUUGCUGAACAAAAGAAAUUCAGGUGACCUAGAUCCACUGCACCAAUUUCAAAUACUGAAGUGGGAAUUCUCUUUCAAGCAUGAGAUCAAAACUGUAAUAAAACUUAAUAAAAUUUCCAAUUCUGUUUGGAAUAUCAAGGAGAAAGUUACAAAGGUUAAAACUCACAAUUAAGUCUUUUUCAAUCUCCUCAUAUACUUUAUCCAGAGCUUCAUCCCGGUUGGUUGAGGCUAUACUUGCAGCCAUAAACUUUUUAUUCCAUUCCUCAAAUUCUUUUUCUUCAAUUUCCUUAUAGCAAAGGCACAGGGUUCUAAGAGUCUCACCUGCAAAGAUCUGUUUAAUUUAAAAGACAAUCCAUUCACCCAAAGAAUAGUUAAUUUUAUGUAAUUCAAGAUCAAGUUUGAAAUCUUACUUUGAAAUAAUACAAUAAGAGAAUUUUAAAAGACUGUGAAAGAUGAAUUCUGUACACAUACAUUCCAUAGAGGAGAUUAAACAAAUACUUUAUUUUUCUAAGUAUUCUCAAUAUCUUAGGAAUAUAUUCGUCGUUCCGAAAUUAGUUCAAGGGAAAAGCAUAUCUUUCUUGAGAAAUGAGAAUAUCUCAUUUGUCAUGAGAAUUAAAAAAACCCUUUUUCUCUUAACAAAGAAAAUAACAGACCAAGGAAGCUGCCUUGGGGUAUAAUGAUUUUGUAAACCAGACCUGACACCUUUAUAAUUUGUUUCUACAAACUGUUACAAGUCCAAUCAACUAUGAACUCUCAACCAAGCAUUAUUCCCUCAAACCAAUUCUGAAAUACAUGAGUCACUGUUAAAGCUGAGAUAAAACAUUUUAAUGAAAGAGUCUGGAAGAUUUAAUCAUGGUGAACAGAUUUAAGCCAAUUUAAAUAGCUUAAAUAUGAACCAGUAAAAAUGUUCCAUUACUUCACAAUCACAUCUUGUCUAGCCCAAAAUGGCAGAACUGCUUCACCCAACUGAGGGUCUGUUGUCAAAGACUCUUUGCAAGGUUCUGCAUGUAUUUGAUUAGACUGCCCUUGUUCAUCUCCUCAUGAGAAAUUAUCCAGUGUAACUGCUUCAGUAACAUAUAUAACCUUAAAAUGUGACCCCACUUACUAAACAUCAUAUUCAUCAGGCUUCUUUCUGAAGGACCUUUGGCCCCCAAACUCUGACCCAUCAAGUGAAGGGAAGAAAAAAACCCUUUAUUAAGCACCUACUAAGUGCUAGGGGCUGUGCAAGAUGGUUUUCAUCCAAGAGGCUUUGCACCAACCAUCCAUGGUAGGAAUUAUCCCCUUCCUCUUCCACACAGGCAAUUAAUGAUUCAUCGGAGACAUCAACCAUUUCCCCCCAGAGGGCACAAAACAAGUAAAGAGGCAGAACUGGGACACCAGAUCUGACAGAUACGCUCCAUACUUCAUUGCCAUCAUUAUAUAUAAGCAAAACAAUAUAAGGGUUGGUAGGCGAUUCUAAAAGAGAAAUUUCCAGAAGCAUUCUGAAUAAUUGCAGUAUCACUGGACCAAGUACAUAGUCCCCUAAAAUAGCAAGUUUGAAGUAAUGAAGACCAAAGUGAUUCUCUAACAAAGAUAUCAGAACUUGGUUAUCCAGUGCACUGCUUUGUCAUGCCCUAUCAUACAUGAAUGCUUUCUUUCCUUCACUGUACACUAGGACGUUGGAAUUCUUGGAGACUAAGGCACAGGAUGGUUAUGUAGCUUGCUGGAGUUCACCAGAAGAAAGACCAGUCUUUCUCCUGGAUCAGUCCUGUAGAUACUGCUGACCUGGAUGCUGGGAAGAGGUAGCAAGGUCAUUUCCUAGGAAGUCAGCAUCAGGGACAGAACAUAUUCCUACUUUGGUGCUCUUUCCACUCAACUACACCAAGACAAUAGAAAGGUCAACAGGUAACAGAGAGCCUUCAUUCCAGCUUAAGGGAUAGUACCAGAAAAUAAGUUUGGAAUCUGUGGCAUAAAGAGUGGAAGUGAGACUUACAUCCAGGGCAUCCUGUGUCUCUUGUUUCGUAGGAUUCAUUCGAUGUAACCGUUCAUAAAUAACAGUGUCAGCACCUUUACAAUAAAGCCUGAUAUUGCCUUCUAGGGUUCUUACUAGUAGCAAGGGAAGGAAAAGCAAAUAAAAAAGUUAAUGUUUGAUUUCUUAAAAGAAAAGUACAUUCAUAAAGUUAAUUUGAAGUGUUACAGUGCUAAACAUUCAUAAUUAGUUUAAAAUCAGCAAUGUACUGAGAAAAAUGUUGCUCUCAACGAUGGUAAGCCACUGUCUACAUAGAAUGUAAUAGUGAAAUAAAUAUGAAAAGAUUCCUUCAGUCAGCUCAGUUUUCCAUAGCCUUGCUUAUUCUUUCAGCAAAUAUUCACUGACUCCCUACUAUGUGCUAGCUUCUUCCAUAGACCCUUUUUUGUCCAUGCCAGCCAGUGGGAAUCUUUCUUACCUAUAAACCCACAACACUUAACUGCCUUUAAUACUGGGACCAAAACACGCUCCUUGUGACCAUUUUCUUGGCUUUUUUGAUCUCUGCAGUAAUUUAAUUGUAUUACGUGUUUCAUCAGUAACUAGAUUUUAAGUUCUCUAAGGUAGAUGCCAGGCAUGAUAUCGGCCCAGAUCAGUGCUGGGUACGCAGAAAGCACUCAGUAAAAUGAGCCUAAUCCGAGUUCAGGAGGCAGUUAAACCUAUAUAUCUUUUUGGUUAAAAAGUCAAUCUCAUGGUGGAAAAGCUUAUAGAUAUCACUUAACCCAGUGAUCCAAGCUGAUGUGACCAGCAGUCACACGCCUUCUGAUGUGAUAUGCUGGGAAAGACACGGCACCGAUCUACGUACCCUUCCUGCCAACAGUGCGUCAUCUGAAUCUAAUUAUGAGGGAACAUCAGACAAACCCAAACUGAGGGACCCUCGACAAAAUAACAGGCCUGGGCUUUUCAAAAAUGUCAGCAUAUGAAAGAUCAAAAACAGGCUGUGGAACUCUUCUAGAAUAAAGGAGACUAGAGUAACAAUCACCGAACGCAAUAUGGAAUAUUAGGUGGGGUCCUGAAUCAGAAAGAGAAUUCCUGGUAAAAUUCGAAAACGUUCUGUACAGAUAAUAAUACUGUAAUGUUAAAUUUUCUGAGUCUGAUCAGUGUACUGUAUAUAAAAAUAGGUGAAGGUUCCCGAUCUUAGGGAAUACCUACUUAAGUAUUUGGGGGAAAGGGGCAUGAGAUCUGCAACUGACUCUCAAAUGGCUGAGAAAACAAGAACUUGUAAAUGAUAAUGACAAAGAAUUUGUGACCAGUGCUAACAAUGGUGGAUAUGGAAGAAAAUACAGGAGUUCUUUCAAGUGUUCUUGCAAUUUUUCGGUAAGUUUGAAAUUAUUUCAGUAUUAUGAAGUGACCACUGUCUCCACUUGGCUGCCUGGGCUGGAGGUAUGAUUUUGAUUCCUAAGCACAGCCUCGCUUUUCUCAGAGCUCCUCUCCUGCUACACUCUCCCUUCCCUGGUGUCCCUCAAGCCUCCAGCAGAAGUCCUCAGAGUGACUCACGAUAUAAAAGCUCAUGUGGGUCUACCACCCACGGUGCUGCCACCCAGAUUCCACAGCUGGCAGCCCACAUCUUUGAAGAUACACCAACAUCUGCAAGAUUCAGAUCUACUGCAUUUGUCCCUUCGAGUGAUGGACAUGGUGUAGAAUGAAGAAAGAAAACACUAGUUUGGACAAGCCUGCGGAAAUCCUCCGGGAGCCAAGGGGUUCAUUCACUGCCUAUUUUAUCCUGGUGUCGCUAAAUAAAAAGUGUGAAAGGCAGCAUCUCAAUGAGCCAUUCAUAGACAUACCCUGAGGGGAGACCUACCAAUUAUAGACAUUCGCUUCCGGUCACUGUUGAAGUCUAAAAUGGCGAGAACACUGUAGGUCCUCUCAGUGCCCAACUCACUGAUGGUGAUCGUGUUCUGGGUCCUGGUGAGGAAGACAAAACCGAAGUUCCUGGCGGCGCUUACCAGAGCACCUUCGUCAGGAGAGGCCGCCUGGUAGUUGAGCUGACCUAGCAAGCGAGGCAGGAGAGAAAACGAGAAAAGCUGAGCUCACCACCAAGGGUUCACCAGUGCAGUUCACGUGCUGGGUGAGGAUGUACGGUUACCCCUCGGUACCCGCAGGGGACUGAUUCCAGGAGCACCCCCAGGCAAAUUCUAUGGAUGCUCUAGUCCCUUAUAAAAUGGCAGACUACAGCAGAUACAGCUGGUGUUCCGCAUCUGCAGGCACAGAGGACCAACUGUAUUGCAAAGCCCAAAUCAGCCUCAAGAAAACAAGUCACUGAUUUUUAAGGAGUAUGCCAACGUUAAUUUUAAAGUUUUUAAAAGGUAAACUUUUAUUUCUAAUCAUAAACAGUGAUAUAAACUAGAAGUAAAAAAAAAAAAAAAAGAAAAA